rnacentral:misc_RNA from 1 species
AAAGUCGUAACAAGGUUUCCGUAGGUGAACCUGCGGAAGGAUCAUCAACAAAUCCAACCAAAACCACACACACCUUAUUGUGAACUGUUUGUUCUCCUCUUUGUCCUCUUAACCACCCCUUUCCCUCGGGAAGGGAGGCUGGAGCGGGGGACAAAGGAGAAACUUUCCAACCCAAUUUAUUCACCCCAUACCAAUUCUCGUAAAUCGAGCCUAAGUUUUACGUUUUUUCUUUUGUUUCCUUUCCUUUUAACCAAGGAGAAGAACUAAAGAAAAAAAGUUAUGUAUGAAAAUUAAGACACAACUUUUAACAACGGAUCUCUUGGCUCUC